UACGAGAGGCCCAAACGUUAUUCGGAAUUACUGGGCUUAAAGAGUUCGUAGGCGGCGCAGAGAGUAGGGUGUGAAAGCCCUCGGCUCAACCGAGGAAUUGCGCUCUAAACUACUGUGCUUGAGGAAUCUAGAGGUGAGCGGAACUGAUGGUGGAGCGGUGAAAUGCGUUGAUAUCAUCAGGAACACCGGAGGCGAAGGCGGCUCACUGGGGAUUUUCUGACGCUGAGGUGCGAAAGCGUGGGGAGCAAACAGG
rnacentral:rRNA from 1 species